rnacentral:tRNA from 1 species
CGGAAGUGGCUCAGUGGUAGAGCAUCACCUUGCCAAGGUGAGGGUCGGGAGUUCGAAUCUCCUCUUCC